rnacentral:sRNA from 2 species
UUUUAGCCCAGGUAGCAGUGAAAAGCUUUUUGAAUUCCGGUUUUUAGUUUUUUUAUUCUUGUAAAGCGACCAAAGGAAGCUCUUGCAAGAAUUUUAAAAAACUAAAGCGGAAGAAAAAACUUGUAACGCAUAACUGGAUUAGCU